rnacentral:rRNA from 1 species
UAAUACGUAGGCAGCGAGCGUUGUUCGGAAUUACUGGGCGUAAAGAGUGUGUAGGCGGUGCCCUAAGUUCGGUGUGAAAUCUCCUGGCUCAACUGGGAGGGUGCGCCGGAAACUGGGGUGCUCGAGCGUGGGAGAGGAAAGCGGAAUUCCUGGUGUAGCGGUGAAAUGCGUAGAUAUCAGGAGGAACACCUGCGGUGUAGACAGCUUUCUGGACCAUAGCUGACGCUGAGACACGAAAGCGUGGGUAGCAAACAGGAUUAGAUACCCUGGUAGUCCACGCCCUAAACGAUGCAUACUUGGUGUCGGCCAUUCAGUUGGUCGGUGCCGGAGCUAACGCGUUAAGUAUGCCGCCUGGGGAGUACGGUCGCAAGGCUG